CAAAUCUCUCAUAAGGAGGAAGAAGACCAAGACCCGAUAGGCCCCAGGCUCACCGCAGAGCUGCCAGAGGUGGAAGAGGAUACCCCAUGUGACUCUCUGGAUGAAUGCUAUUUGACUUAUUCGGCCCUUCCUGACCUGUCUGACUCCCUCGGGACUUGUAGCAAGGCUGACAUCACCUCAUUCGAAGAUCUGGACAUCUGUUCUGCUCUGGAAGUAGCUAGUGAGUCCUCCAUUGUCAAGGUGAUAAAGCUCCAACUGGACUCCCAAGUUGACCCCCUAUUUUUGGGAUCCCAACCUCUGGUUGUGCAGAAAUGUGUCAUCGCUCUGUAGAAGCCCAGUAGACAUAAGGAUCUGAGUCAGGCUCUAGGAUACACUUUUUAGCACAGACCUCAGGUGAGUCAGGCACCUGCCCUUUGUUCCUCAUCUCAGGCCAUGCUUAUGGCUUCUGACAGAA
rnacentral:lncRNA from 1 species